rnacentral:rRNA from 1 species
AUUGAACGCUGGCGGCAGGCCUAACACAUGCAAGUCGAACGGUAACAGGAAGCAGCUUGCUGCUUUGCUGACGAGUGGCGGACGGGUGAGUAAUGUCUGGGAAACUGCCUGAUGGAGGGGGAUAACUACUGGAAACGGUAGCUAGUACCGCAUAACGUCGCAAGACCAAAGAGGGGGACCUUCGGGCCUCUUGCCAUCGGAUGUGCCCAGAUGGGAUUAGCUAGUAGGUGGGGUAACGGCUCACCUAGGCGACGAUCCCUAGCUGGUCUGAGAGGAUGACCAGCCACACUGGAACUGAGACACGGUCCAGACUCCUACGGGAGGCAGCAGUGGGGAAUAUUGCACAAUGGGCGCAAGCCUGAUGCAGCCAUGCCGCGUGUAUGAAGAAGGCCUUCGGGUUGUAAAGUACUUUCAGCGGGGAGGAAGGGAGUAAAGUUAAUACCUUGGCUCAUUGACGUUACCCGCAGAAGAAGCACCGGCUAACUCCGUG